GAGCAAUGAUGUAAACAUUCACACUGAUUUCUAAAAUUGUGAUGUUCACUACACUUGAACUGAGCUCA